AGCUCUUGACAUGUCCCGUAUGGUCGCCAGAGAUGGCUUCCUUCCAGCAAUGGGCGGGAACACAGGUGCUGCAUGGCUGUCGUCAGCUCGUGUCGUGAGAUGUUGGGUUAAGUCCCGCAACGAGCGCAACCCUCGCCCUUAGUUGCCAUCAUUCAGUUGGCACUCGUAAGGGACUGCCGGUGAUAAGCCGAGAGGAAGGUGGGAUGACGUCAAGUCCUCAUCGG
rnacentral:rRNA from 1 species